GACGAACGCUGGCGCUGUGCUUAACACAUGCAAGUCGAACGGUAAGGCCCUUUCGGGGGUACACGAGUGGCGAACGGGUGAGUAACACGUGAGUAACCUGCCCUCAUCUCUGGGAUAACAGUCGGAAACGGUUGCUAAUACUGGAUAUGAGCUUGCAAGGCAUCUUGUGGGUUGGAAAGAUUUUUUUGGUUGGGGAUGGACUCGCGGCCUAUCAGCUUGUUGGUGAGGUAGUGGCUCACCAAGGCUUCGACGGGUAGCCGGCCUGAGAGGGCGACCGGCCACAUUGGGACUGAGAUACGGCCCAAACUCCUACGGGAGGCAGCAGUGGGGAAUAUUGCACAAUGGACGGAAGUCUGAUGCAGCAACGCCGCGUGCGGGAUGACGGCCUUCGGGUUGUAAACCGCUUUCAAUUGUGACGAAGCUUUUUGUGACGGUAGCAGUAGAAGAAGCACCGGCUAACUACGUG
rnacentral:rRNA from 1 species